rnacentral:rRNA from 1 species
AGCGAACGCUGGCGGCAGGCCUAACACAUGCAAGUCGAACGGACCCUUCGGGGUUAGUGGCGGACGGGUGAGUAACACGUGGGAACGUGCCUUUAGGUUCGGAAUAGCUCCUGGAAACGGGUGGUAAUGCCGAAUGUGCCCUUCGGGGGAAAGAUUUAUCGCCUUUAGAGCGGCCCGCGUCUGAUUAGCUAGUUGGUGGGGUAAUGGCCCACCAAGGCUACGAUCAGUAGCUGGUCUGAGAGGAUGACCAGCCACAUUGGGACUGAGACACGGCCCAAACUCCUACGGGAGGCAGCAGUGGGGAAGUCUUGCGCAAUGGGCGAAAGCCUGACGCAGCCAUGCCGCGUGUAUGAUGAAGGUCUUAGGAUUGUAAAAUACUUUCACCGGUGAAGAUAAUGACUGUAGCCGGAGAAGAAG